AUGGGUGGCACAUGGAAGGCCAUGGCAGCGUGGGAGACAGCGGGACAAGGACAGCACAAGGCUCUUUUCCACAGCCCAUCUGCAUCCCUGCCAUGGAACAGCCAGCCCUGCUCUCCGUGCAGGUCUCUGCCUCAGGGCUGUGCUUCUGUUCCAAGCACAGUCACAGAGGGCUGGGGGAGAGGUGAAGGAUCACUCUGGGAUCUCUGCUCUUUGAGCACACCCCCUUGGACCUUAGCAGAAAACAAGUCCAGUCCGAAUCAAAGAAAUACGAGAAAGCUCGGUACAUAUCCUGCAAUCUGCCGCUGGAAACUGAGUUAAAGAGAGGGAGUGUGAAGGAUGGCUCGAGAGCAGGACUUUUCAAAGGGCUGAGCUGGAGUGAAGGCGAUGGAAGAGUUUCCAUGGCUUCCAGGGACCCCGGAGCGGCGGCGGGGGCGGCCGGGAUGCAGCAGCGCUUUGUCAACACGUUUAUGACUUCCUAAAGACAGAGCACACUGAGACCAUCGUUACUUUUUGUUAUUUUUGUUAUUGUUCUUGUUGUUGUUUAAAUCGAAGUGAAGUGACAAGAAAAAAAGAUUUCUUGUGUUAAAGCGCCUCAAGCAGCGACGCUCCCAAGGUGAUGCCGAAAGCCGUCGAUAGCCGGGACCAUUUGAAUUGGAAGGUGCCUUUUCCAUCCUGGCUGAAGCGGAAUGCCAUUUAUUCUCAUGCGCGGGAUUAAUUAGGGGCCUUUUUUUGUUGUUUUGGUGUUUUUUUUGAAGAUCAAGGUUUCUCUCUCGCUGCU
rnacentral:lncRNA from 1 species